rnacentral:rRNA from 1 species
GGAUGAGAUCAUACCAGCACUAAGGUACCGGAUCUCAUUAGAACUCUGAAGCUAAGCGUGCUUGGGUGAGAGUAGUACUAGGAUGGGAUAGGAUGGGUGACCCCCCUGGGAAGUCCUCGUGUUGCAUCCC